GACGGAGGAUGCAAGUGUUAUCCGGAAUCACUGGGCGUAAAGCGUCUGUAGGUGGUUUAAUAAGUCAACUGUUAAAUCUUGAGGCUCAACUUCAAAAUCGCAGUCGAAACUAUUAGACUAGAGUAUAGUAGGGGUAAAGGGAAUUUCCAGUGGAGCGGUGAAAUGCGUAGAGAUUGGAAAGAACACCAAUGGCGAAAGCACUUUACUGGGCCAUCACUGACACUGAGAGACGAAAGCUAGGGUAGCAAAUGGG
rnacentral:rRNA from 1 species